rnacentral:snoRNA from 1 species
CCCCCCUUGAUUCCUUCCCCAGCAGAUCUAAACAUCGGUCUGAGUGGCUAUAAAAGGAGGCAAAGCAAAACUGAAAUGAGUUUGGAUUCUUUCAUAACAUACAAGUUGGUUUCAAACAAAC